GAAGUUUGUAAACACCUCCAAGUCCGUCUCCUGACGCUCUGCCAGGCGUCAGUUCGUUAUUAUUUUUUUACGGACUGGCUUCAUGUUUUCCUUUUGGGGUUUGGUUUGGUUUGGUUUUUGAGACAGGGUCUGGCUCUUGAGCCCAGGCAUGGAACUCACUUGGUAGCCUAGGUUGUCCUCGAACUAUUAGGAAUUCCUGCUUCAGCCUUCCAAGUGCUGGAAUUGUAGCUCCAUCGUGAUACGAACAAGCAGCUCCUUCAGCUCCAGUCCGAGUUACUUCAGCGGCCAGGCCUUCCCUCCCAGGACGCACAGGAGCCUCUCAAGGAGCUGGAACGAGCCUCUCUUGGGUUGUCACAGCGUUUAGAAAAGGAAUUGAGACAACCUGGUAGUACAAACACUGAGGCCCAGUAUCUCACCACCAGCUGACGCCACUGCAGGAUCCGCUGCUGCUUGGCCAGCAGCUCCCGAAGCAUAAGUUGCCGGUGCCCAACCGCGUCCCCCAGUUCCUGGCUCUGGGCAUGAAGAGCUUUGAGCUCUGCCCACAGGCCACUGCACCUAAGUCCCAGCAGCAGCAUUUUCCUGGGGCGUGGUGAGAAAUUGAAAGAAAGCAAGGAGACUGGCAGCCACACUGGGGAGAUGAGAUCUUCAGGGAGGCACGAGGAACCCCAAACACAAGAAACAAGUACCAGGAAGGGGAGGAAAUGAGGGGGGCCCCAGGGUGGACAACAUCCAGUAUCCCCAGCCUCCUGGGAGAGGGCCACUGCUGAGGGGGCCUCUUUACCUCUCACUGGAUCCCAGAGCGUGCCUCUCCACCUCCUCCACUAGGCUCUGGAGGUGGCCAGUCAGGACUUGUCGCUCACCCAGGAGGGCACUCCUCUGGGUAACUAGUGUACCUACAGCCUGCCAGCCUUCCUGGGGGUACAAAGGCUGUGUGGGCAUGGUCCAUGGGCAGAGGCGUUCAGUGGGUCUUAGGAAAGUGUCUCAGGGUUACCUGGAUGAGAUGAACGGAGGAUGGCAGGGCCUGGAUGGAGUUUGAUGGGUCUGGUGCCUGGGGCCUGGGGCGGGGACAGAACAGCUGAGGGAAGAGCCCUUUAUUUUUGUCUCGAUGAGUGUCAUAGUAUCAGUCUUCUCCUCCCCUGCUAUAGGCUGGCAUUCAGUCCCACCCCAAUGGCAGGCUGCUGCCUGCUCCUAGCUAUAACAACCUUCACCGCCCACCUGGACAUCACCUCUUCUUUGAGCCCAUCCCCACCACACUGGGACCAGAGCUCUGUCUCCCGCUCUGCAGCCAGGUACGUCAAGGCAGCCAGGAUGUGGCCGGCAGGGUGGUUUGUCAGCAGUGUCUGGUAGGGACAAGGGGGAAAUCAGGGAGGGAUGGUGGCGCUGGGAUGCAAGCCAGGGCUCCAGGGAGAUGACUUAUGGCUAGACAAUUGGGGGUUGGCAACUGGAAAUUUCCUCAUGGAGCAGGAGGAAGUACCCUUCCCUGAGAGCCCUGCCCUCUUACCUCAACUGAGCUUAGCCACUGCUGAUGGGAACUUCCGAAGUGGUCCUCACGAGGGCUUCUGUGGAUUUGGGUGAGGGGACAAGGAUGUUGUAGGAUACAUCAGUUACCCUCUAUCACCACUACAUGUAAGUAGGAGCUAUCAUUAUCUCCCCUGGACGGAUAAGGAAAUUGAGUCCAUAUGUGCUUAUUAGGCUUGAGUUCCCCCAUUAUCUGAACUUGCUGUCCUGGGAGCCAUUACAAGUUCUGUUAGUUCUUGAUCCUUCACCCUAAUUAAGUCUCCUCACCAGAGCCCCUCCCCUCCCCACCCCCAGCUGGGUAAGGGCCUCCUCUGGGUCCUAGAGCCGCAGACCUCCUACCUCAAACAGCCCUGAUCACCUGGCUGUUGCUGCCCACGGUGGGUCUGCGUCUUCCUCAUCCCACCCUUGGAGCUCACACAGGACAUAACCCAGAAAUCCAGUCUUGAGUAAUUUAUAAACGAGCCAUCUCCUGCCCCUCACGCCCAGGGCCUUCCCAGAGUCCUGGAGCCUGUGAACACUCACGGGAUGCUGCUUCCCCUGGCCUGAGGAAUGAGAAGGUUCUGCAGGAACUGAGUCCGAAGGGAGCAGGCUGUCCGGACAUCACGCUAGGGGGAGGAGGAUGGGGCAUAAGUGGGUUCCAGGCCUCUGCUUGAUCUCUGACUCCUCAUAGCCCCUGCACAGACCAGGACUCUCACCAACACCUCAGGCUCUAGGGCUGGGGCUGCUGACACCAGAGGUCCAAAGGUCACAUCCACUUUGGCUUUCCUGGAAGGAAGAGUGUAACUGGAAAGGGGAUCUAGGGAGCAGAUGUGCCCCUCCCCCUGUGGCCCUCAUGGGCUGUCUCUUGGCUACUGUCAUCUCCGACAUUAGACUCCUCAUCGGUCUACAGCCCACCUCUUCCUGUCCUCUCUGUUCUGACAGUGGUCAGCAACCCUAUUAAAAUCCGGGGAAAGUCAGGCACAGUGGCUCAUGCCUGAGAUUCUAGCCAGUGGUUCUCAACCUUCCUAGUGCUGUGACCUUUUAAUACAGUUCCUCAUGUUGUGCUGACUCCCCCCCCACCAUAAAAUAUUUUGUUGCUACUUCAUAACUGUCAUUUUGCUACUGUUAUGAAUCAAUGUAAAUAUCUGUGUUUUCCAAUUGUCCUAAGAGGUGACCGCCGUGAAAGGGUCUGCCAGCGCAGGGGAGUUGCGACCCACAGGUUGAGAAACACUGGAUUCCAGCACUCAGGCAGUUGAGACAGGAAGAUCACUGAAAGUCUGAAGUCAACCUGGGCUACACGGUGAGCUGCCAGUGGGUGCUGGGAAUUGAACCCAGGUCCUCUGAAAGAGCAAGCAGUGCUCUUAACCGCUGAGACAUCUCUCCAGCUCCUUG